rnacentral:rRNA from 1 species
UACGAAGGGUGCAAGCGUUACUCGGAAUUACUGGGCGUAAAGCGUGCGUAGGCGGUUCGUUAAGUCUGAUGUGAAAGCCCUGGGCUCAACCUGGGAAUGGCAUUGGAAACUGGCGACCUAGAGUGCGGUAGAGGGUAGUGGAAUUCCCGGUGUAGCAGUGAAAUGCGUAGAGAUCGGGAGGAACAUCAGUGGCGAAGGCGACUACCUGGACCGGCACUGACACUGAGGCACGAAAGCGUGGGGAGCAAACAGG